UACGGAGGGGGCUAGCGUUGUUCGGAAUUACUGGGCGUAAAGCGCACGUAGGCGGCUUUGUAAGUUAGAGGUGAAAGCCUGGAGCUCAACUCCAGAAUAGCCUUUGAGACUGGAUUGCUAGAAUCUUGGAGAGGCGAGUGGAAUUCCGAGUGUAGAGGUGAAAUUCGUAGAUAUUCGGAAGAACACCAGUGGCGAAGGCGGCUCGCUGGACAAGUAUUGACGCUGAGGUGCGAAAGCGUGGGGAGCAAACAGG
rnacentral:rRNA from 1 species